AACCGGUGCCAUCACUGAUUAUAAAAAGAGAAGGGGUUUUUAUUCAUCAGUUAUACAUCUGAGAGAACUAAUAAAGGAAUGGCAUCAUCAUCAUCAACAACUCAAUCAAUAGUCUUCUGAUUCACUGCUAUGUUGCAUUGCUGAUUCAAAAGAGAUGGUAGUAUACGCAUGUAUUGAAGAUGGAGAUCCACGAAAUCAAGGCAUCACUUGGAUAAAGGGUGGUAUAUGCAUGUAUUGAAGAUGGAGAUCCACUUCUUUGAUUUGGUGUUACUUUCUCUGUACUUUGUUUUUCAUUAUUAUGCACGCAAGUUGUUUGAUGAAAUGACUAGCAUAGCAUGUCAAAAAAUUCCCUCACCGGUUUUGGUUUUUUA